UCACUUGUUCUUUAAAUGAGGACUAGUAUCAACGGCAUCACGAGGAUCUUACUGUCUCCCCCCUCUAAUCAGUGAAACUGAUCUCCCCGUGAAGAAGCGGGGAUAAAUUUAUAAGACGAGAAGACCCCAUGGAGCUUUAAGCUUAACGGCACCUAUUAAUUUCAUACCCUCAUAUUCUCCUAGUAAUGCUUGUUCAGCUUUGGGUUGGGGUGACCAUGGAGCAAAAAAUAGCCUCCACGAAGAAAGGAACAAAACCCUUAUCAAAGAGUUACAUCUCUAUGAAUUAGAACACUAACUUUUAAUGAUCCGAUAAUCGAUCAACGAACCAAGUUACCCUGGGGAUAACAGCGCAAUCCAUCUCAAGAGCUCCUAUCGACA
rnacentral:rRNA from 1 species